ACUCCUACGGGAGGCAGCAGUGGGGAAUAUUGCACAAUGGGGAAAGCCCAUCGAUGCAGCCAUGCCGCGUGUGUGAAGAAGGCCAAUUCGGGCUUUGGUUAAAGACACUUUCAGUAGGGAGGAAGGUAGUGUAGUUAACACCUGCAUUAUUUGACGUUACCUACAGAAGAAGCACCGGCUAACUCCGUGCCAGCAGCCGCGGUAAUACGGAGGGUGCGAGCGUUAAUCGGAAUUACUGGGCGUAAAGCGCAUGCAGGCGGCCUGUUAAGUCAGAUGUGAAAGCCCGGGGCUUAACCUCGGAAUUGCAUUUGAAACUGGCAGGCUAGAGUCUUGUAGAGGGGGUGAGAA
rnacentral:rRNA from 1 species